rnacentral:SRP_RNA from 2 species
GCCGAGCCACUUAACAAUGGCUUGUAACCCAAGUGGGGGCUUUAAGGUGGUUGGAGGUUGGUUCAUCGUAUCUUGUCGGAACUCUUAAGAGGACUACUUGCUUGCUGCCCAUUCCAAGAACGGAGUUGGGCCUCGCAUUCUAGACGAAAGUCCAAAGUGCGAUGCCUUUAUAUUUGAGGAAACUGCGUGAGGUUGGCCUUACAGAGCAGCGUCACCUCCUUCUCUCGUCGGUGGACGGAUAACGUGCAAGUUCUUAAGAGCUCAAUUACCCUGGUACGAAGUUCAAAACAAGAAAACCAAUUUU